CUUAGUCAGAACAAAAUUAUUGUUUUAUUUUGUACGAUUGUUUAUUAUUAAAAAUUCUUAAAUCUUGUAAAAUGUAUUUUUUAAUACGAAUCACAGAGAUUCUUCUUCUUGACGUCUCCGUGGACUAAGGAACCAGAAUGGCUAUGACACACCACUGGAACUCGAGAAACGUAUAGUCCGCCCCCUUCCCAGAUCAAUAAUACCAUCCCCGUCCUCGGCGCAUGUGCGCCGAAAUAUCUCCCCGUAAGCGUACUGGUUUCCACCCCCAGAUGAACUAGGUACGCUCCGAACGCCUUGCACCCCUCCAUGCAACAUUCAUAGCGCCAUCAAUAUUAUACGCGCGAAAUAAUAACCUGUGCAUUUAUUAUGAGAGGGGUGGCUGCCGUGGCUCAAGAGUUUCGUAAAAAAAAAAAAAAAACGAGAGGAACACCCGACGAGGGAUGGUAAAUUAUGCGUGUAAACUGUUAUGCAAAUCAAUUGGUCGAGGGUGAGAGAUCGGUGAAAGUGAUGGAUCGGUUUUCAAGAGAGAAUCUUGAAAUGCGAUGUUGACGCGGAAUUAAUUGUUUCGUGGCUUCUAUCGACUGAUUACAGCGAUUGAUCGAUUCGAUUUCUCUUCGCUUUCACGCCUUUACAACGGAACGAAGUAUGCAAUGGAAAUUUUGAACCAUCGUUCGAUCAAAAAGCAAUGAUCGAUCCCUUUCGACGCGUUUAUGUCACGUUGUUAAGAUCGAAGGUUACAUUUUUUCGAAAGGUCUUCGUAAAGCUCGAGAUACUUUCACACUAGCAUUCCAAAAAUGGGAAAACAAUCGAAAGGGUUGUUCAGCAAGCAGACGAGGAGUUAUUUCAUGAGGUAAUCGUCGUGAUCGAGCCGCUCUCAACGAGCGCAAGAGGAACUUAAUCCCACGAUAUCGUCAUGCGAAUACGAUGUUUGCAUUGGCGUCGAGAGAGAUAACGGAGGAGACAAAAAUGUGGGACAAAGAGAACGAUAGAAGAACUAGUCUCGUAAAAUCUUUAUUACCGUCAGGCAUCCCCCUGAAAAAAUCGUUCCGGUCGCGCUUAUGUAAUCUUGGAUCCUCGAAUUUCCUCAUACAUAUCCUAUUUUCUUUAUAUUUUCCCUCUCUUCUCCUUUUCGUUUUACGAUCAACGAGGAUAAGAAAACGAGAUAUUAUAUCGUUUUCACCAUUCUCCUGAUACAGUUAGGCACGCACAGCUCCUCGCCGCUGUUUAUAUCACGAAACGAAAUAAUUUAUGGAAGAUAAACUACUACUGGUUAUUUUCGCAUAUGUCUUUUUUUUUUUCAAGCACACACUUCUGGGGACCGGUGUUCAACUGGAUGAUACCCAUAGCGGCCAUAUCCGACACGCAAAAGCAUCCGAGAAUCAUUAGCGGCAAAAUGACUUUGGGUGAGUCCGCCGCGGCCGCGCUUCGUCGUUGGUCCUUUCGGGGAAUUCGAAUUUCGCCGCUCAUAAUAAUCACGUAUCGCGACGACCACGACCACGACCAAGACGGUGGACUGGGAACGGGGACAACGCGGGGGCGAGGGACGUCGAGGGCCAGAGAAACGGCCCCAUAAAAUAAUUGCCGCUCGAACGCAGCGAAUCGCCGUUUAUUUCUUAAUGAGCCUCCAUGAAACACGUGCGUUGGCUCUGUACUCUAUAAUGUUCAUGAGGUUCGCCAUGAAGGUGCAGCCACGGAAUAUGUUGCUGUUUGCGUGCCACUUCGCCAAUUCCUGCGCGCAGCUUACACAGGCUUACAGAUUUCUCGACUACCAUUAUAUCUCGAAACAAGAACCCAAUGACGAAGACACACCUGUCUCUCAGGAUGAAAAGAAGUGACUUCGUAUAUGUUGAUCUCAGCGAUCAUAUAGCUAUAUUUAUUCGGUGUAAUAAUGUAGAUGUUCAGUAUCGAUUGUGCGAAAAAUUUUAUAAUAAAAUCUGCAAUCUUUAAACAAAAUUUCCUCGACUAAAAUUUUAUCUUUAUUAAAAUUUCUCUUGUUCAGUAAAGAAGUGAGCUAAACAUCUCUUUUAUUCUCAAAGCUUGAUUUGUCGUUUUUCUGUCUAUGCACUUCUACGUCAAUUGUAAAUUUUUCUAAUCUGCCACAUAUUGUCAAAAAAGGGGGCGAUAUCGUCUCGCUAAAGUAUUUAAGUAACUGAAAAUUACAUUGUAUAAGCAGUAAAAAGUUUCAGGAUUCCAUGAAAAUGUAAAGAACAUUCACCGUGAAAUCAGCCUAUUCACUCGACAGUUUCCCCAUUUCUUUUUUUUUUUUUUUUUUGCUUUCUCCUUUUCCCCAUAGUGAGUCGAAAAAGGCACUAGUUUAUUCGUGGUGGCCCCAAUUCGAUGGACGAAUGUAUAAGGAGAGCAAUAAUUUCCUAGGGGUCGGUUCUGUCUUUCUCGUUUCUUUUCCCGCGCCUCGGACGAAGGCCAUUCGAUCGAGCUUGGGGUCAUUUUAUGGGAUCUGGCACGGAUCAGAGGCACGAAUCUAUUCCGGUUUUUCCGAAUGCUAAGCCACGCUGCGCCUCCGUCCCGUUUCUGCUCUUUGCAUUCGUUUGGUCUGGACGAAGGAACACGAGGGCGGAUUCGUGUCCCUGAAUAAAUAUAUAUGGACUGAUUAGCCCUGCUUGGCUUCGAUCAUGCGUUCCUUCCAUUUAUCCGCUUCCUUUGCGUCAAGAAAGAUCGAUGACGUCAUCAAUCGUCAGUGGUUUUGUAUCAUUUCUGAGUAUCUUGAGAAAUUGUACGAUUUUAACAUUCUAUAGACAAUACACAUCAGAGACAAUUGUCAUUUCUAUCAGCUGGCAAAAGUCAUUUUUAUCAGCACAACAUUCACUCUCUGAAUAGUAUAGCGAGGGCUUGUCUUCGAAGGUUUUGUAUAUUUUUCGCAUAUUUGAAUUGUCCAUAGAUGCAUAAAUAUACACAGUCUACUAAUCGUCGAAUUUCACUAACAUUAAAAUCUACCAAUUUGCUUCCAUUUUCGUGUUUUGUAAGGCAAUCACAUCCAUUAGUAAUUUCAUUCGAUUGCUGGAACUAUUUACUUUUGCUUCAACCAUGAGAUCCAACACCACGUUCAUCCGCUUUUCACGGGAAAAUCUCGCCAAUUUUCACGAACCGGGCUUCUCGAUCGUACAAAACGGGGAGAAAAAAGAUCGCAGAGGCGAGACAAAGUCCACGGGAUGAGUCCUUCGGGACUGAUUUCACAAACAAAUGCCGACGAUUGAAUGCUGGCAUGUCGCAAGAUGGAUCGCUCUCUUUGAAUCACAGAUUACCCGCCGCCUUCCUUCCACCUCGUCCUGCGGUCCUCCUCCUUCCGCUGCGCGGCCGCCGUUUCCAACUGCCCUCUUCCUCCAGACGGCUCGUCCUUC